rnacentral:rRNA from 1 species
AGUGAACGCUGGCGGUAGGCCUAACACAUGCAAGUCGAACGGCAGCACAGUAAGAGCUUGCUCUUACGGGUGGCGAGUGUCGGACGGGUGAGGAAUACAUCGGAAUCUACUUUUUCGUGGGGGAUAACGUAGGGAAACUUACGCUAAUACCGCAUACGACCUACGGGUGAAAGCAGGGGAUCUUCGGACCUUGCGCGAUUGAAUGAGCCGAUGUCGGAUUAGCUAGUUGGCGGGGUAAAGGCCCACCAAGGCGACGAUCCGUAGCUGGUCUGAGAGGAUGAUCAGACACACUGGAACUGAGACACGGUACAGACUCCUACGGGAGGCAGCAGUGGGGAAUAUUGGACAAUGGGCGCAAGCCUGAUCCAGCCAUACCGCGUGGGUGAAGAAGGACUUCGGGUUGUAAAGCCCUUUUGUUGGGAAAGAAAAGCAGCAGGUUAAUACCCCGCUGUUCUGACGGUACCCAAAGAAUAAGCACCGGCUAACUUCGUG